GCGGCCGCAGCCUCUGCCCUGACCCCGGCCCGCCUCCUGCCCCUGCUCUCCGCUUGGCCUCGGCCCGCCGGUGCCGCGGCUCGCUCCGCGGCUCGCUCCGCGGUUCUGCGAGUUGUUUUUGAGGUUCCCCCGAUGGCGGGUAACCCCCUGGGCACUUCGCUCCCAGGAGGCACAGUUUGUGAGGGGCCAAGUGGUGGCAACGAGUUCCUCGGAAGUGCUGCGACGGCGGGAGUGUGCCAUGGUGCCUAAGGCCUCGCCACCCGCGCAGUGCCCUUGGGACGAGAAGUGGACCUCGGGCGUUGGAAGAUCCCGCGCGCAACUGGACCUCGCAGCGACCCUCCACGGCGCUGCGCUCCCGCGUCCCUUGUCCCGCUGUGUCGCUCCUCGGCCGGGUGGGAAUAAUUUUGAGGACCCCUGCCGCGUCGCUUUUUGACUGGGCGAUGCACACGUUUUUGGUGGAACGCAACUAACUUUGCCUUCUGAGAGGAAAGGCAGGGAAAUAGAUCCGAGAGAAACCGUGCGAUGAAAUGGAAGUAGGGUUUGCACCCACCCAAUACUUCCUCCGGGUUGUUUGCGGGAUUGUGCUGGGCGGUUUGGCUGUGGCGGGGAUGCGAGAGAGCAAGGCCUUAGAGCUAUCUGGCCUGCGGCGCUCUUCCCUCAAUAUCCCUCCCAUCUCGGCGCAAGCUCCGAUGAGUUCAGAAUUGGUUCUCCAGUGUGACCUUGGGGUGAGAGCUGCAUCUCCUCAAGUCACUGGGUCUCAGACUUGCGCUCGAGUUAUUCAAGGUUCAAGAUGUCUUGAGAUGGUAAAAGCUACUGUUUUGGGAAAUCGUGGAUCCAAGGGCUCACCGGGAUUUUCCACCUGCGCUUUGAAUGCUGCCUGGGAUCUGUUCUGUGCGCAGGCUCUGCACUUCGAUUCUUCCCAUUCCCUACCUAUAUUGUGUGAUCCAGCUGAGAAACCUCAGGAAGGAGCAGGGGAGGUCCUUAAUUAUGAAGCCUGCAGAAGGGCCCAAGAGACUCACAGUUGUGAGUUUAAGAGAAAGCGAGGGCCCAAGAACUGGUACGCUCUGGGGCAGAACCCUUGCUGUUCCUCUCCCUUUCGCUUCUGGCAACAUUUUAUUUUAGAAUCAGAUGCAGAAACGAUUUGGGGAAAAUAGGUUUGUUUCAGAAGGUGUCCCCUCCCACCCCCUGUGCACCUUCCACACAGGAAGAGAGGCAAGAAUCCUUUCAGGAGCCUUCAAAAUGAUUCGAAAAGUAGAAUGGGGUGGGGGACAACAGAUAGUUUGGAAACCGGAUAUAUUUUCUCAUUUUCCUAGAGCUGCUGAGCAUGAAUAUAGACCUAGAAGUCAAAAAAAAAACAUGCCUAACAGUGAAUUCAAAGAUUGCACAUUUUCUAGGAAGCUGGUGAGUGAAUUCCUUCAGAGCUUCUCCAACCUGCCAAUCCUAGUAGCCACAUUUAUUUAUCUUAAUGAGAAUUUCAAGUUGGUAGACACAUUUCUAAUAGACUAUAAACUUACUUACUUCACUUGGGAUUGGAGGCGGGGGGGAUCUUCCAGGUAUUCUCCACUGGAGCCACUGAGUCCUGUGUUUGGCAGGUCACAAAACAACACCUCCAUCCCAUAGAGAACAGUUCAGUAAAGUAGAGAUUAUGAAAUGAGCUUUUGUAAUUUUUUUAGAGGAAAAGUAGGAUUAGAGGUCUGCUUAGCAUAUGUGAUGCUCAGGUUCAAUCCUCUGCACAAAAACAAACAAAAUGAAAACCAGAAGGAAGAAGAAAAGUAAAGGGUCACUCAAAAGCAGACCAGCCAUAUUAACAUAGCUCCUUCCUCAUGUUCAGCCUGUGAAAUUGGGAUUUUGCCCUGUAAGUGAAAGGUUCCCAAACAAGGAUAAACAACAGGAUUUUUUUUUUUUUUUUUUUUUUGUAGAAAUCCCAGUGAAUAGCUUUGAAUGUCUGGGAUUUUGGCAGUGUCUGAGAGAUUCACCAAAAGUCCUAGAUAAUAAAGUCCUCAAAGGAUUGGAUCCAUCCUUGAUUAGAGUAGAGCUGAAUGGUCCAGUGAUCUCUCAAGAUUUCUUCCAGGAUCCAUUUCAACAACCCUUACAAGAAGAAGCUGAGAGUGUGAACCAGAUACAGACUUCCUUUAAUUUUUAGAGCCCAUGAAUAACUAAAUGAGAAACCUUUCAAAGAUGAUAGGAGAGGGGACCUGGAGUCCCAGAUUUAGAGGGGUAUCUCUAGAGACACUGAUAUUAGGGCUACAGAGGACAGCAAAGGGCACCCAUAAGCAAAGCUCCCGAGGUGCUUAAAAGGGACCAAAUUGCCCAUCUCCCAGCAAAUCUCCCCACCUAUCUUAACAACUCCUUACUGCACUGCUCUGGGACAAAAGCUGUGACACCAAGGGAAUUAACUGAAACUACUUGUUUUAACAAGGGGCAAGAAUGGGUCUUUAGUUCCCUCUCUUGUAAAGUAUUCCAUUAGAAGGAUAAGCUAGAGAAAGGAGUUAACUUAGAAACAAGAGCAGGCACUUAGGAUGCAACACUCAGGUGGAAGAAAGAUGGCGUCAGUAGUCCUUAUCAAAGAGUGUGAUCCAGGAUGAGGUUGGAGAUCAGGUUGGAAUGGGUGUGAUUUAUCAGAAGAGGUCUUGGCAUGCUGAGAUAUUUCAUUAGUAUUUGACAACUUUCAACAAUACAUUGUCACAGUGGGAUCAAGAAUAGGCAAGAGAGGCCCUUAGAGUUCAAAAUUGAAGGAGGCACUCUCAGGGUCAUGCAAGUGCACUUGUCCCUGUCUGAUGCAUACUUUGUCUUGUGUAUUAUCCAUAUGACCCUCAUCUGGCCACUUAGUUGAUUUGGCAGUAGGGAGAGCAGAGAUGGAAGGAAAGACCAUCUGGCAGAGGCCACAGCUCCUCCUGUAUUGAAAAGCCUUUUCUGAGCCACUUCUUUCCUCACCUUGCAUGUUACUCCAUCCAAAUGAAACUAACCCUUUUAUAAUUUUACAAAAUCUGAUCUCACACUCUAUGUCCCUGAACUCCAGGACCAGAAAAAUCAUACUCCCUGUGUAUGGCCAAAGUCAUGAGGUCAUUUCACACAUAGAAGCUACAUCUACUAUUAAACAUUGUCACUUUGGGUCCCACAAAUCCAGAAUUUGUCAUCUUUCACAAGGAGUUCUGUGACUUUAUUGACAAGAGGCCAAACUUUUUUCUACUGGAAUGUGCAAGUAUUCAUUGAUAAGGAUUCAGUUAUAAUUAACCCUGGCUUCUCCAUCCCUCACACCUGGAUUAUCAAUAGCUUAGAAAAUAAUGUUUUCCAUUGCUAGGUCUAAGGACGAGGUUUUGCCAAUGAAAGAUCUUAGGUGUUUAUAAGAGAGUGCUAGGGGGUUCCCUUUCCUCCAUGAUAAAACAGUCCAGUUGAACACACACUGCAUUUCCCAGAUUGAGAAUUCAAAUUUACUCACUUUUUAAGUAAGCUUCUGAUAUCAACAGGCAUUUUAAAGGGGUAAUGAUUCCUUUGUCUUCCACAAAUCACAUUUAAAUUGGCAAAUAUAUAACUCAUGUACUUUAAAAUUAUUUUAAAUAUGAAAAUUAAGAGAAAAAUCAGAGUCUAAACAAUAGGUGUGGCAAAUUUGGUGGGGAGGGAGUAAAUGGAGGAAGUGAAAAUUCCAGAGUCCCAGUUUUGUCCACCUCUAGGACCCAGAGAAAUUUCGCUUGAACUGACCAGGCUGCCCGGCUGAUGGGUGUGACUUCUGAGGUGAUAAAAUAUCACCCAUGUGAGAGGAAUGACUGAUGGAAAGGACAUGCCAGCCCCACCUUAGAAGAAGGCAUGCACAGAAAAGAGGGUGCUCUGUCACUAAAAAUAAUGACAUUGGCCUCCAGGCUCUGCCCUAAAGCUUGGAUGACUAAGAUUGGCUCAGAGAGAGGGUCAGAGAUAUCUAUCCCAGCCAGUGGAGUGGUGUUGGCAAAUUGCAAGAUAUUAUAAGGGAACUCUUGUGCCUCAGUUUCCAUUGAAUUCCCACAAUAAUAGGUGCCAACUUAUUAUUGCACCCCUUCCAAAAUGGUUUUGCAUGCAUUCUCUACCCACUGUCCACCUUAAGAGAGGGCAUGGAAUGAUAUAUAGAAGGACUAGCAAUUGGUUAACAUGAACCGUCCCCAUUCCUGGAAUGGAUGGGAGCUUCUUACUCCUCUCUCCUGGGGCUCACAGGAGACUAUGCAGAGAGCCUGAAGCCUGACCCUGAGUUUGAGAGAUGCAGGAGACCACCAUGGCUAAAAGCCUAGCUGAAGUGGCCUAUGGCAGCUGAGUGGAGGGCUGCAUCUGGAAGUUAACUUUCGGUCACCUCAAUCAUGGCAAUAGGGCCUGUGGCAGGUUGGAUUCCCCAGAAUCUGACCCCGAAGGGCAAGAUUAGCAUGUGGGAAGUUUUUUAGGUUGUGCUUUUGCAUUAGCAGCUGGAGGAGAUGUGGAGGAAGCAAGAUUGGGCAGGGGAGAAAUGGAGUUUCCAGGCAGCCUCAACAAGGUCCUCAUCCAACCCAAAGGAAAAUCCAAAGCUGGAAUGGCCUUUCAGAUUUGUUCCUGGGUGGAGUGAAGGGUUUUUGUUUUUAUUUUUGUUUUUCCUGCCCUACAUUGAUUGGUGUUAACUGACUUGGGGGAAGGGUAUGACCUUGGUAGCAUCUGGGGGAAUGUUGUCCUUCAUUCCUGAGGGGAUAUAUGAGCAAUGCUCUCAGGGUCCAGUAUGAUGCAUGACAUACAGGGGCCAGAUGUGGUUCCUGGGGUUUUCAGGAGGAUUCUGUCCAUGUGAAUGUCUUCAAGGAGAGCCCAGCAGAAAAAUAUAGAGGUACCACUGGAAGCGCAAGUUGAGAGGGGUUCGUAGGGCAGAAGAAGAGGCCCUUCUGGAGGGGUCUGCAAAGAUCUCACAAAGAUACCAAAGAGGAAAGCACCUGCUACAGCCAGAGAAAACUGAAGAGAAAGUAUACCUAUACCAAGAAACAACUGGGGGCAGGGGUGGGGGGAGAGGAGGAAGGAAAAGAAAGACAUUUCCUACCCAUUAUUUUCCCUCCCUCCCACCCCAGGGGACUCAGGCAGGCUAAUAGUGGGCAGGGAUACAGUUGCGAGAUGGGGAGGUAUCUUGGCAGCCUUGAUGCCUAGGAAGGCAGUUGGCAUACAAUGAGCACUCAAUAAAUCAUAAACAAAUAACGUGGAAAAUAUUUGCUCCUUUACAAUUUCCAGUGACUGUGUAAGGGCCUUUUACAUCUGCAUCAUUCUGGGGACUGAAACUGGUCCUUUGGAGGUGUCGGACUUGGAGGGAGAGAUACAAGGGAAUAUCUAAAGCAUAUGUGGAUAUGCCCCAAAAUGCACUUGCACCCACAGUCACAACUCAUAGCUGCUCCAGUGCCAAGCAAGAAAGAGGUUCCUAGGCAAACCUCAUUAUAACUUUGCAUUUCUCUUGAAUGCAUACCUGUCUUGGCCCUUUGAAGAAAACCAGGGGUGCAAUAUUUUGAAUGUGCU
rnacentral:lncRNA from 1 species